CACGUAGGUACCGAGCGUUAUCCGGAUUUACUGGGCGUAAAGCGCGUUCAGGCGGUUUGGCAAGUCGGGCAUGAAAUCUCUCGGCUCAACCGGGAGAGGUUGUCCGAUACUUCCAGACUUGAGGGCAGUAGAGGGUGGUGGAAUUCCGGGUGUAGUGGUGAAAUGCGUAGAUAUCCGGAGGAACACCAGUGGCGAAAGCGGCCACCUGGACUGCACCUGACGCUGACACGCGAAAGCAUGGGGAGCGAACAGG
rnacentral:rRNA from 1 species